GUGCCAGUGGUGUAGUGGUAUCAUGCAAGAUUCCCAUUCUUUUGACCUGGGUUUGAUUCCCGACUGGGGCA
rnacentral:tRNA from 1 species